rnacentral:rRNA from 1 species
UACAGAGGUCCCGAGCGUUGUUCGGAUUCACUGGGCGUAAAGGGCGCGUAGGUGGCUUGGUAAGUUUGAUGUGAAAUCUCCGGGCUUAACCCGGAAAAUGCAUUGAAUACUAUUUGAGCUUGAGGAUUGGAGGGGGGACUGGAAUUCUUGUGUAGCAGUGAAAUGCGUAGAUAUCAAGAGGAACACCAGUGGCGAAGGCGAGUCCCUGGACAACACCUGACACUGAGGCGCGAAAGCUAGGGGAGCAAACAGG